rnacentral:rRNA from 1 species
AACGAACGCUGGCGGCAGGCCUAACACAUGCAAGUCGAGCGCGCCUUCGGGUGAGCGGCGGACGGGUUAGUAACGCGUGGGAACGUACCCUUCUCUACGGAAUAGCCUUUGGAAACGAAGAGUAAUACCGUAUACGCCCUUUGGGGGAAAGAUUUAUCGGAGAAGGAUCGGCCCGCGUUAGAUUAGAUAGUUGGUGGGGUAACGGCCUACCAAGUCUACGAUCUAUAGCUGGUUUUAGAGGAUGAUCAGCAACACUGGGACUGAGACACGGCCCAGACUCCUACGGGAGGCAGCAGUGGGGAAUCUUAGACAAUGGGCGCAAGCCUGAUCUAGCCAUGCCGCGUGAGUGAUGAAGGCCUCUGGGCUGUAAACCUCUUUUAUCAAGGAAGAAGAUCUGACGGUACUUGAUGAAUAAGCCACGGCUAAUUCCGUG